ensembl:snRNA U1 U1 spliceosomal RNA
GCUCAUACCUAGCAGGGGAGACACCAUGAUCAGGAAGGUGAUUUUCCCAGGGUGAGGCUUGUCCAUUGCACUUAGGAUGUGCUGACCCCUGCAAUUUCCCCAAAUUUGGGAAACCCAACUGCAUAAUUUGUGGCAGUGGGGGACUGUGUUCUUGUUCUCCCCUU